GGUCCCAUGGUCAAGCGGUUAAGACACGGCCCUUUCACGGCCGUAACCGGGGUUCGAUUCCCCGUGGGGCUACCA
rnacentral:tRNA from 2 species